UACGGAGGAUCCAAGCGUUAUCCGGAUUUAUUGGGUUUAAAGGGUGCGUAGGCGGCUUGUUAAGUCAGGGGUGAAAGGCGGUAGCUUAACUAUCGGAGUGCCCUUGAUACUGACGAGCUUGAAUGCAGCUGAGGUAGGCGGAAUGUGACAAGUAGCGGUGAAAUGCAUAGAUAUGUCACAGAACACCGAUUGCGAAGGCAGCUUACUAAAGUGCGAUUGACGCUGAGGCACGAAAGCCAGGGGAGCAAACGGG
rnacentral:rRNA from 1 species